rnacentral:rRNA from 1 species
GAUGAACGCUGGCGGCGUGCCUAAUACAUGCAAGUCGAGCGAACAGAUGAGGAGCUUGCUCCUCUGACGUUAGCGGCGGACGGGUGAGUAACACGUGGAUAACCUCCCUAUAAGACUGGGAUAACUUCGGGAAACCGGAGAUAAUCCCGGAUAAUAUCUUGAACCGCAUGGUUCAAUGGUGAAAGUCGGUUUUGCUGUCACUUCUAGAUGGAUCCGCGCCGCAUUAGCUAGUUGGUAAGGUAACGGCUUACCAAGGCAACGAUGCGUAGCCGACCUGAGGGGGUGAUCGGCCACACGAGAACUGAGACACGGUCCAGACUCCUACGGGAGGCAGCAGUAGGGAAUCGUCCGCAAUGGGCGAAAGCCUUACGGAGCAACGCCGCGUGAGUGAUGAAGGUCUUCGGAUCGUAAAACUCUGUUAUUAGGGAAGAACAAAUGUGUAAGUAACUAUGCACGUCUUGACGGUACCUAAUCAGAAAGCCACGGCUAACUACGUG